CAAUGCCGCGUGUGUGAAGAAGGCCUUCGGGUUGUAAAGCACUUUUGUCCGGAAAGAAAUCCUUGGCUCUAAUACAGUCGGGGGAUGACGGUACCGGAAGAAUAAGCACCGGCUAACUACGUGCCAGCAGCCGCGGUAAUACGUAGGGUGCGAGCGUUAAUCGGAAUUACUGGGCGUAAAGCGUGCGCAGGCGGUUUGCUAAGACCGAUGUGAAAUCCCCGGGCUCAACCUGGGAACUGCAUUGGUGACUGGCAGGCUAGAGUAUGGCAGAGGGGGGUAGAAUUCCACGUGUAGCAGUGAAAUGCGUAGAGAUGUGGAGGAAUACCGAUGGCGAAGGCAGCCCCCUGGGCCAAUACUGACGCUCAUGCACGAAAGCGUGGGGAGCAAACAGGAUUAGAUACCCUGGUAGUCCACGCCCUAAACGAUGUCAACUAGUUUGUGGGGAUUCAUUUCCUUAGUAACGUAGCUAACGCGUGAAGUUGACCGCCUGGGGAGUACGGUCGCAAGAUUAAAACUCAAAGGGAAUUGACGGGGACCCCC
rnacentral:rRNA from 1 species